UUCAAUUUAGCAUAAUGAAAACAAAAUAAUUACAAUGCAUUGUUUUACAAUGUCACCAAAUUAUGUACAAACAUGAAAGAUAUACCAAACAAUAUGAUUCUAAAGCACACACCCCCACACUUAAGCCUAAUUAUCAUACAAGAGAUAGAAACAAUAUACAAACCAAAGCCUCAUAACAUAGUGAACACGGAACGUCCCCAUUAUCGACUUGAAUUCGGCACCUUUUCAAGAAGAAUAGCAAAGUUACUGAUUUAUUAAAUUACAUUUGCCAAACUAAUAUCCUUAAUACCCAUAAAAACAUAAAUGCGGUCUUCUUCUAACACAGUGAACACUAAUACCUCAGCAACAUGGAUACAACAAGCAAUGCAAAUAAAUUAUCCCUUAACUCCACGGAUACAAACUACAUCCAUGUUUUCCUAAUUAUUCUUUUAUAUUCAACACAGACAAAAAAAUAUUAAUCAUAACAACAACUCAGGCAGAAUUAACAAAAUGAAUAAAAUGUAAUUGAGCCGAAAACAAACAUCAAAGUAUUAAUGGAGCGAUUGGCUCAAACGUUACCGUACAAGAAGCACUCCAUUACUUGUUGUUGUGGUCCUGCAGGAAGUCAUACUUUUACGCUGUUGCAUUCAAUUUUCACAGCCUAUACCAUGGAGCAAAAAAAAACCUCACCGAGACGCAACACUUUAAACUCAUCGAUUCGACACCCAUAAUGCUUUAACGGCUGAGUUCAUCUUUCAUUGUGUUGUUGAGUUUCUGUCCUCUUUGAUGUUAAAGACUUGCCCUGUUUGCUGAGUUGUUGUCAAGGUGAUGUUGUCGGAAAGCUGAGUUUGAACAAAUCCGUUGUUGUUGA
rnacentral:lncRNA from 1 species